AGAGGUGAAGCCUAGGGGCACGAACCGGAUUAGAUACCCGGGUAGUCCUAGGUGUAAACGCUGUGGACUUGGUGUUGGGGAUUCUCCGAGGAUCCUCAGUGCCGAAGCGAAGGUGAUAAGUCCACUGCCUGGGGAGUACGGUCGCAAGGCUGAAACUUAAAGGAAUUGGCGGGGGAGCACCGCAACCUGAGGAUUGUGCGGUUUAAUUGGAUUCAACGCCGGAAAACUCACCAGUGCCGACGGACAAAUGAAAGCCAGUUUGAUGAGCUUGCUGGAUUGUUCGAGAGGUAGUGCAUGGCCGUCGUCAGUUCGUACCGUAAGGCGUUCUGUUAAGUCAGAUAACGAACGAGACCCUCAUCGCUAUUUGCUAAGGUCAGUCCGCUGAUCACAGGACUAUAGCGAGACCGCUGGCGCUAAGUCAGAGGAAGGCGAGGGCAACGGUAGGUCAGUAUGCUCCGAAUGCACUGGGCUACACGCGCAAUACAAAGGACGGGACAAUGGGCCGCUGCGCCGGGAGGCAUGUGGCUAUCUCGAAACCCGUUCGUAGUUCGGAUUGAGGGCUGUAACUCGCCCUCAUGAAGCUGGAUUAGGUAGUAAUCGCGUCUCAAAAAGGCGCGGUGAAUAUGCCCCUGCUCCUUGCACACACCGAAGGG
rnacentral:rRNA from 1 species